rnacentral:rRNA from 1 species
CCUACGGGAGGCAGCAGUGAGGAAUAUUGGUCAAUGGACGAGAGUCUGAACCAGCCAAGUAGCGUGAAGGAUGACUGCCCUAUGGGUUGUAAACUUCUUUUAUAUGGGAAUAAAAUGUUCCACGUGUGGGAUUUUGUAUGUACCAUAUGAAUAAGGAUCGGCUAACUCCGUGCCAGCAGCCGCGGUAAUACGGAGGAUCCGAGCGUUAUCCGGAUGUAUUGGGUUUAAAGGGAGCGUAGGUGGAUUGUUAAGUCAGUUGUGAAAGUUUGCGGCGCAACCGUAAGAUUGCAGUUGAAACUGGCAGUCUUGAGUACAGUAGAGGUGAGCGGAAUUCGUGGUGUAGCGGUGAAAUGCUUAGAUAUCACGAAGAACUCCGAUUGCGAAGGCAGCUCACUGGACUGCAACUGACACUGAGGCUCGAAAGUGUGGGUAUCAAACAGGAUUAGAUACCCGUGUAGUC